AAAAGCGCAUAUAUCACAGUUAUAUUCAUAAGGACUUAAAUAAAAUAGAAAGCAUUGAUGAAAUCGAACGACAUAAUAAAUGGCGGCAAGAAGGAUCAACAUUUGGAUUAUUUUUUUAUAUAUAUCUGCAUUGAAAGACGUAUCUUCAGAAUUUACGUGUGAAAUUGAUAAUGAUGUUGAUAGUAAAGUCAUUAGUUGCAGUAGCAAUGACACUUCUUUCAAUGGAAAUGUUGUA